CAUUCCCACGAUUAAAAUUCCCGUCCUGUUAGCGAAAGCUAGGAUAGCAUAACGAACACGUAAUGGUGAAGUGGUAAAGGCAGACCGUGGCACUUAUAAGUUAUGA
rnacentral:ncRNA from 1 species